ACGCAGGGCAAGGCCCAGUCCCGUGGAAGCCGGGACCGCCCCUUCGGGGGCGCGGCGCUCAUGCCUGCUGAA
ncrna:unclassified sequences Twister-sister ribozyme sequence